rnacentral:rRNA from 1 species
CCUACGGUGUGCUGCAGUGGGGAAUAUUGGACAAUGGGCGAAAGCCUGAUCCAGCCAUGCCGCGUGUGUGAAGAAGGCCUUCGGGUUGUAAAGCACUUUCAGUGGGGAAGAAAGCCUUGGGGCUAAUACCCUCGAGGAAGGACAUCACCCACAGAAGAAGCACCGGCUAACUCCGUGCCAGCAGCCGCGGUAAUACGGAGGGUUCGAGCGUUAAUCGGAAUUACUGGGCGUAAAGCGCGCGUAGGCGGUCUGAUAAGCCGGUUGUGAAAGCCCCGGGCUCAACCUGGGAACGGCAUCCGGAACUGUCAGGCUAGAGUGCAGGAGAGGAAGGUAGAAUUCCCGGUGUAGCGGUGAAAUGCGUAGAGAUCGGGAGGAAUACCAGUGGCGAAGGCGGCCUUCUGGACUGACACUGACGCUGAGGUGCGAAAGCGUGGGUAGCAAACAGGAUUAGAUACCCGAGUAGUC